UUAAUAGAUGUAGUUUGAAAGACUAAUUAUCUGUUAUUUAUAAUUUUAGUAGUUUUAAUUGAAGAAUUAAAUAUUUUUAGUAUAUUUAUUGAAAAAAUGUUUAUUGAGAUAGUGUAUUAGUAUUGUGAAAGAAAAUUUUUAUUAUUGAAGAAGAAAAAUUUAUUUUUGUACCUUGUGUCUCAGGGUUUAUUAAAAAUGUUCUAAUAUUUUAGUUUUCUCGAAUUCAAAAGAGUUAUUUAUUUAUAAUUUUUAUUGUGGCAAAAAUAUUAUUAAUAGAUAAAUAGAGGUGAAACGUUAAUCGAUUUUGAAUAUAUCUGGUUUUUUAAGAAAUAAAUUUAAUUUUUUAUUAUUUUUAUUAUUUUUUUAAAUUUUUAAUUUUAUAUUAAAUAAUAGUGAUAGCUUAGGGGUUGAGCUUUAAGCUAGAUUAAUAUAAUGAUUUUUUAAUUUUGGUUAAAUAUGUAGGAUUUAAAGUUUCUUUAUAGUGAUUUAUAUCUUGAUUAAUUUUUUUAUAAGAUUUUUUAAUUUUGUUUAUUUUUUUUAUUAAAAUUUAGGUUUUAAUAUUUAUAGUCUAGUAAAAAUGAUAAAAUUAGUAUAAUAUAUUUUAUUUUUAAUAUUUAAUAAAAGGUUUUUUUAAGGAAUUCGGCAAAUAAAUUUCCCACCUGUUUAUUAAAAACAUGGCCUUUUGAUUAUAAUUUAAGGUCUGUCCUGCCCAAUGAUUAAAUAAUUAAAUGGCUGCGGUAUACUGACCGUGCAAAGGUAGCAUAAUCAUUAGUUUUUUAAUUGAAAGCUUGUAUGAAAGGUUUGAUGAGGAAAAUACUGUCUCAAUUAAAAUUUUUUAGAAUUUUAUUAUUUUGUAAAAAGGCAAAUAUGAAUAUAAAAGACGAGAAGACCCUAUAGAGUUUUAUAAUUUAAGUAUAACGGGUUAUUAGAAUUUUUUUCUUUAUUUAUUUGAAUUAUUUGGUUGGGGUGAUUGAAUAAUUUAAUAAACUUUUUUUUUUAUUUUACACUGAUAAGUGUAUUGUUGAUCCUUUGAAAAGAUUAAAAGAAAAAAUUACCUUAGGGAUAACAGCGUUAUUUUUCUAGAGAGUUCAUAUCGAAAGAAGAGUUUGCGACCUCGAUGUUGGAUUAAAAUUAAGGUUUGGUGGAGAAGCUGAACUAUUAGGUCUGUUCGACCUUUAAAAUUUUACAUGAUCUGAGUUUAGACCGGCGUGAGCCAGGUUGGUUUCUAUCUUUAUAAUGUUAAUAUUUUUUAGUACGAAAGGACCAAAAAUUUACUAUAAUAGUUUUUAAUUGAAUACUAUUACUGCUUUGACAGAAUAGUGUGAUAGAUUUAGAAUCUUUUUAUAUAGUAUAUUAUACUAUAA
rnacentral:rRNA from 1 species